rnacentral:rRNA from 1 species
CACGUAGUUAGCCGGUGCUUCUUCUGCGCCUACCGUCACCCGAAGGCUUCGUCAGCGCUGAAAGAGGUUUACAACCCGAAGGCCGUCAUCCCUCACGCGGCGUUGCUGCGUCAGGCUUUCGCCCAUUGCGCAAUAUUCCCCACUGCUGCCUCCCGUAGGAGUCUGGGCCGUGUCUCAGUCCCAGUGUGGCCGGUCGCCCUCUCAGGCCGGCUACCCGUCAUCGCCUUGGUAGGCCACUACCCCACCAACAAGCUGAUAGGCCGCGAGUCCAUCUCCAGCCGAAAAACUUUCCACACACAACCAUGCGGCCGCAUGUCAUAUCCGGUAUUAGACCCAGUUUCCCAGGCUUAUCCCAGAGCUGAAGGCAGGUUACCCACGUGUUACUCACCCGUUCGCCGCUCGAGUACCCCGAAGGGCCUUUCCGCUCGACUUGCAUGUGUUAAGCACGCCGCCAGCGUUCGUCCUGAGCCAGGAUCAAACUCU